AGCAUCCAAAAACCAGGGAGAAGUUCCCCACUCUUCUUUGAUCCGUCUGAGCGCCGAGUGACAGCCUCGACCCGAGCGGAAGUGCAAUGUGUCUGGAAACUCGGGAGCCAUAUGAGCCUGCCCAAAAAGGGGAGGGGAGGGAUGCGUGGUUCGCUCCAUGGAAAAUCCUCGCGUGGUUGUCUCUGCCUGGCCUCGAUGGUCAUCGAAGCAGCGUAUGGUGAUGUCGCUCUGGCCUAG
rnacentral:rRNA from 1 species